rnacentral:rRNA from 1 species
GAUGAACGCUGGCGGCGUGCCUAAUACAUGCAAGUCGAGCGAACGGACGAGAAGCUUGCUUCUCUGAUGUUAGCGGCGGACGGGUGAGUAACACGUGGAUAACCUACCUAUAAGACAGGGAUAACUUCGGGAAACCGGAGCUAAUACCGGAUAAUAUUAUGAACCGCAUGGUUCAAAAGUGAAAGACGGUCUUGCUGUCACUUAUAGAUGGAUCCGCGCUGCAUUAGCUAGUUGGUAAGGUAACGGCUUACCAAGGCAACGAUGCAUAGCCGACCUGAGAGGGUGAUCGGCCACACUGGAACUGAGACACGGUCCAGACUCCUACGGGAGGCAGCAGUAGGGAAUCUUCCGCAAUGGGCGAAAGCCUGACGGAGCAACGCCGCGUGAGUGAUGAAGGUCUUCGGAUCGUAAAACUCUGUUAUUAGGGAAGAACAUAUGUGUAAGUAACUGUGCACAUCUUGACGGUACCUAAUCAGAAAGCCACGGCUAACUACGUG